rnacentral:rRNA from 1 species
GAUGAACGCUGGCGGCGUGCCUAAUACAUGCAAGUCGAGCGAACAGAUAAGGAGCUUGCUCCUUUGAAGUUAGCGGCGGACGGGUGAGUAACACGUGGGUAACCUACCUAUAAGACUGGGAUAACUUCGGGAAACCGGAGCUAAUACCGGAUAACAUUUAGAACCGCAUGGUUCUAAAGUGAAAGAUGGUUUUGCUAUCACUUAUAGAUGGACCCGCGCCGUAUUAGCUAGUUGGUAAGGUAACGGCUUACCAAGGCGACGAUACGUAGCCGACCUGAGAGGGUGAUCGGCCACACUGGAACUGAGACACGGUCCAGACUCCUACGGGAGGCAGCAGUAGGGAAUCUUCCGCAAUGGGCGAAAGCCUGACGGAGCAACGCCGCGUGAGUGAUGAAGGGUUUCGGCUCGUAAAACUCUGUUAUUAGGGAAGAACAAAUGUGUAAGUAACUGUGCACAUCUUGACGGUACCUAAUCAGAAAGCCACGGCUAACUACGUGCCAGCAGCCGCGGUAAUACGUAGGUGGCAAGCGUUAUCCGGAAUUAUUGGGCGUAAAGCGCGCGUAGGCGGUUUCUUAAGUCUGAUGUGAAAGCCCACGGCUCAACCGUGGAGGGUCAUUGGAAACUGGGAAACUUGAGUGCAGAAGAGGAAAGUGGAAUUCCAUGUGUAGCGGUGAAAUGCGCAGAGAUAUGGAGGAACACCAGUGGCGAAGGCGACUUUCUGGUCUGUAACUGACGCUGAUGUGCGAAAGCGUGGGGAUCAAACAGGAUUAGAUACCCUGGUAGUCCACGCCGUAAACGAUGAGUGCUAAGUGUUAGGGGGUUUCCGCCCCUUAGUGCUGCAGCUAACGCAUUAAGCACUCCGCCUGGGGAGUACGACCGCAAGGUUGAAACUCAAAGGAAUUGACGGGGACCCGCACAAGCGGUGGAGCACGUGGUUUAAUUCGAAGCAACGCGAAGAACCUUACCAGGUCUUGACAUCCCUUGACAACGCUAGAAAUAGCGCGUUCCCUUCGGGGACAAGGUGACAGGUGGUGCAUGGUUGUCGUCAGCUCGUGUCGUGAGAUGUUGGGUUAAGUCCCGCAACGAGCGCAACCCUUAUUAUUAGUUGCCAGCAUUCAGUUGGGCACUCUAGUGAGACUGCCGGUGAUAAACCGGAGGAAGGUGGGGAUGACGUCAAAUCAUCAUGCCCCUUAUGAUUUGGGCUACACACGUGCUACAAUGGACAAUACAAAGGGCAGCUAAACCGCGAGGUCAUGCAAAUCCCAUAAAGUUGUUCUCAGUUCGGAUUGUAGUCUGCAACUCGACUACAUGAAGCUGGAAUCGCUAGUAAUCGUAGAUCAGCAUGCUACGGUGAAUACGUUCCCGGGUCU